ensembl:lncRNA
CUUUUACCUUCUGACUCAAUCCGAGUGGCUGUUAUCAAUCCGUUCCUGCGUGUUUGUUAGAUCACAUCAAAGCCUCUCUGAUAAGUGGUUCAUCUCCGUGCUGAGAGACACUUGGCUUAUCAUCGACCGUCAGGCUACAAGUAACAAUUUUUAUUUUAGGGUGGUUUUUGUUUCAUUUAGGGACCGAUGAGCUCUACAUAAACAUGAAAAAAAAAGAGUUUUGGUCGUUACUUGACAGAUUUCAGUUUUUCUGAGCCAUUUAAAGUGGGCAGGGCUUCUGCUCACGUUUCAUACAACAGAUUUAUAUUCUUGGAGGUUUUGUAAUAUUUGCUGUUCAAGAAAAUCCUCAUUUACCUCAUGCUGGUGCAGCUCAUCAGGCCAAACACAAGCCCUCCCCUCACUUUAAGCCACAUUCCUUCUGACUGGUUGCCUCUCACAAACAGUAAGUUUGUACAGUAAGUGGGUGGGACUUAAAUGACCAUAUUAGGGAUACCUGACAUCAUCAGCCUUAGCUAUCCUCUAUAACAAACUGCUUUGGUUUAAGAAACCCAUUUUAAUAAUGGUGGCUAUAUUUUCCCUGCUCAUGCUGUACACCAGUGUUUGUCAGUAGUUAUGUUUUUUUGUAAUAGUAAAUGAUACUUUUUCACUCUUGCAUCUACCUAAAAGGGUCAGUUUACACAUUUUCUUUUUUCUUUUUCUUUUUUUUUUAAAAAAAGCUACUUUUCAUUUCCACCUGUCAUCUGCCACUCUCACUUCAUGAGCAAUGCUCUGGGUGCUGAAAACAGCAGAAAAUCUCCACAGUGUCUUGCAGGUUGCUUGUUAAAGCUAAUGGGACAAUUAUGUUUUGUGACUUGGGUGAAAUAACUCUUUAAUGGGAGACAUCAGCUGCUUUAUUGUGGUGGUAGAUGGCAGUAAGACCAAGUCAGAGAGAGACAGACUGAGACAAAGCUUCCUUUAUCUAUUUCUCUUUAGCUCCAACAUUCCUCUCAUUCUGCCGAGCACGACCUGACCAUGACCAACGCUGGCUGUGCCUCUGUCUCGCUGUCCUCUGGGAGCUCUUUGAUAUUUUUAGUGUAUCCCUACAAGGACAGCAGGUCACUCACUGAGGCCACUCGCAGAAAAUGGGUUCUUUUCAGUGUCUGGGCAUUGGGAUCUUUGUGUUCACUUUCCAC